UACGAAGGGUGCAAGCGUUAAUCGGAAUUACUGGGCGUAAAGCGUGCGUAGGUGGUCUUUUAAGUCCGUUGUGAAAUCCCCGGGCUUAACCUGGGAACUGCAUUUGUGACUGCAAGGCUGGAGUGCGGCAGAGGGGGAUGGAAUUCCGCGUGUAGCAGUGAAAUGCGUAGAUAUGCGGAGGAACACCGAUGGCGAAGGCAAUCCCCUGGGCCUGCACUGACGCUCAUGCACGAAAGCGUGGGGAGCAAACAGG
rnacentral:rRNA from 1 species